rnacentral:rRNA from 1 species
CCAAAUUGGUGCCCGCAGUCGCGGUUAUACAAAUAGUGUGAGUAAAUUUAUUCGUCUUUAGGAAUAUUGAAAUAAUAAAUUAUAGUUUGAGUUAUUAGGUAAAAUUUUAAUUUAAAGAGAAUUUUUUACUUAGUGAUUAACCUGGGAAAAUUUAUAGAUAAACUAGGAUUAGAUACCCUAUUAUUUAAAUUGUAAAUCUUUAGGCAGAGUAGUAGUAGUUAUGACCUUGAAACUUAAAAAAUUUGGCGGUAUUUUAGUCUAUUCAGAGGAACCUGUUCUGUAAUCGAUACUCCACGUUGGACCUUUCUUUCUCUUGCUUUCAGUUUAUAUACCGUCGUUAUCAGAGAAUCUUUAAAGAGAAAUAAUUCUCAAUUAAUUCUAUAAAAUUAUAUAUCAGAUCAAGGUGUAGCUUAUGAGAAAGUAGAAAUGGGUUACAAUAAAAUUAUUUAAAUGGAUAUAAAAAUGAAACUUUUAUUGAAGGUGGAUUUGAUAGUAAAGCUAUAAAGACAAAUAGCUUGACUUUAGCUCUAAAAUAUGCACACAUCGCCCGUCGC